UGGGGAAUAUUGGACAAUGGGGGGAACCCUGAUCCAGCCAUGCCGCGUGUGUGAAGAAGGCCUUUUGGUUGUAAAGCACUUUAAGCGAGGAGGAGGCUACCGAGAUUAAUACUCUUGGAUAGUGGACGUUACUCGCAGAAUAAGCACCGGCUAACUCUGUGCCAGCAGCCGCGGUAAUACAGAGGGUGCAAGCGUUAAUCGGAUUUACUGGGCGUAAAGCGCGCGUAGGUGGCCAAUUAAGUCAAAUGUGAAAUCCCCGAGCUUAACUUGGGAAUUGCAUUCGAUACUGGUUGGCUAGAGUAUGGGAGAGGAUGGUAGAAUUCCAGGUGUAGCGGUGAAAUGCGUAGAGAUCUGGAGGAAUACCGAUGGCGAAGGCAGCCAUCUGGCCUAAUACUGACACUGAGGUGCGAAAGGAUGGGGAGCAAACAGG
rnacentral:rRNA from 1 species